GACGAACGCUGGCGGCGUGCCUAAUACAUGCAAGUUGAGCGCUGAAGGUUGGUACUUGUACCAACUGGAUGAGCAGCGAACGGGUGAGUAACGCGUGGGGAAUCUGCCUUUGAGCGGGGGACAACAUUUGGAAACGAAUGCUAAUACCGCAUAAAAACUUUAAACACAAGUUUUAAGUUUGAAAGAUGCAAUUGCAUCACUCAAAGAUGAUCCCGCGUUGUAUUAGCUAGUUGGUGAGGUAGAGGCUCACCAAGGCGAUGAUACAUAGCCGACCUGAGAGGGUGAUCGGCCACACUGGGACUGAGACACGGCCCAAACUCCUACGGGAGGCAGCAGUAGGGAAUCUUCGGCAAUGGACGAAAGUCUGACCGAGCAACGCCGCGUGAGUGAAGAAGGUUUUCGGAUCGUAAAACUCUGUUGGUAGAGAAGAACGUUGGUGAGAGUGGAAAGCUCAUCAAGUGACGGUAACUACCCAGAAAGGGACGGCUAACUACGUG
rnacentral:rRNA from 1 species